ACGGGUGAGUAACACGUGGGUAACCUGCCCAUCAGAAGGGGAUAACACUUGGAAACAGGUGCUAAUACCGUAUAACAAUCGAAACCGCAUGGUUUUGAUUUGAAAGGCGCUUUCGGGUGUCGCUGAUGGAUGGACCCGCGGUGCAUUAGCUAGUUGGUGAGGUAACGGCUCACCAAGGCCACGAUGCAUAGCCGACCUGAGAGGGUGAUCGGCCACAUUGGGACUGAGACACGGCCCAAACUCCUACGGGAGGCAGCAGUAGGGAAUCUUCGGCAAUGGACGAAAGUCUGACCGAGCAACGCCGCGUGAGUGAAGAAGGUUUUCGGAUCGUAAAACUCUGUUGUUAGAGAAGAACAAGGAUGAGAGUAACUGUUCAUCCCUUGACGGUAUCUAACCAGAAAGCCACGGCUAACUACGUGCCAGCAGCCGCGGUAAUACGUAGGUGGCAAGCGUUGUCCGGAUUUAUUGGGCGUAAAGCGAGCGCAGGCGGUUUCUUAAGUCUGAUGUGAAAGCCCCCGGCUCAACCGGGGAGGGUCAUUGGAAACUGGGAGACUUGAGUGCAGAAGAGGAGAGUGGAAUUCCAUGUGUAGCGGUGAAAUGCGUAGAUAUAUGGAGGAACACCAGUGGCGAAGGCGGCUCUCUGGUCUGUAACUGACGCUGA
rnacentral:rRNA from 1 species